UACGUAGGUGGCAAGCGUUAUCCGGAUUUAUUGGGCGUAAAGGGAACGCAGGCGGUCUUUUAAGUCUGAUGUGAAAGCCUUCGGCUUAACCGGAGUAGUGCAUUGGAAACUGGGAGACUUGAGUGCAGAAGAGGAGAGUGGAACUCCAUGUGUAGCGGUGAAAUGCGUAGAUAUAUGGAAGAACACCGGUGGCGAAAGCGGCUCUCUGGCCUGUAACUGACACUGAGGCUCGAAAGCGUGGGGAGCAAACAGG
rnacentral:rRNA from 1 species